UGGGGAAUUUUGGACAAUGGGCGAAAGCCUGAUCCAGCAAUGCCGCGUGUGUGAAGAAGGCCUUCGGGUUGUAAAGCACUUUUGUCCGGAAAGAAAUCCUUGGCUCUAAUACAGUCGGGGGAUGACGGUACCGGAAGAAUAAGCACCGGCUAACUACGUGCCAGCAGCCGCGGUAAUACGUAGGGUGCAAGCGUUAAUCGGAAUUACUGGGCGUAAAGCGUGCGCAGGCGGUUUGCUAAGACCGAUGUGAAAUCCCCGGGCUCAACCUGGGAACUGCAUUGGUGACUGGCAGGCUAGAGUAUGGCAGAGGGGGGUAGAAUUCCACGUGUAGCAGUGAAAUGCGUAGAGAUGUGGAGGAAUACCGAUGGCGAAGGCAGCCCCCUGGGCCAAUACUGACGCUCAUGCACGAAAGCGUGGGGAGCAAACAGGAUUAGAUACCCUGGUAGUCCACGCCCUAAACGAUGUCAACUAGUUGUUGGGGACUUCAUUUUCCUUAGUAACGUAGCUAACGCGUGAAGUUGACCGCCUGGGGAGUACGGUCGCAAGAUUAAAACUUAAAUGAAUUGACGGGGUC
rnacentral:rRNA from 1 species